AUGGACGCCACGCCAUCGUGGUUCGCUCUCGCCGACGCGUUGUGCUCGGCUGCUCCGUCUCGCCUCCGGACAUGGAGCGUUGCCUCCGACUGCAGUAACGUCGUCUCCCACAACUUUGAGGGCCUCUUCUCAACUUCCGCCGACGUCAGCUCACCCUGGCUCCUCUCAGACGGCCUGCCCGCGGCGGCCGACCAGACCGUGACAGUCUUCGGUGGCACCUGCAGGAGUGUCGCUCUUCCCCGCCGCUCUGGUCGCUCAAAUCCGUCUGCGCGCGGCCGCCUCUUGGAGAUGGAGCAUGCCGCCGCUGUCAUCAUUCUCUUCUGCGGCGUCAUGCAAUGCAUGGUCGCCGGCUUCGGCGCCGCGGUGACGGGCUCGACCGCACCUCCUUCCGUCUCCACAUACGCUUCCUUGCCGUCGCACAGGGGUGCCCAGGUUGCGACCAUUGCCAGGACAGCCUACAAUCCGGCGCCGCGCUCGCCGAGGAGCUGCGCGCAAGACCGCGUCAGCGCCUCGGACGACCUGAGCUCUCUGGAUUCCAAGCAGUGGGAGAAGGCUUUUGUGGACUGCGCCAUCGUCGUCUAG
rnacentral:rRNA from 1 species